CAAAGUAUAGCUUAAACAAAACAUCUCGCUUACACCGAAAAAAUACCUGUUAAAAUCGGGUUACUUUGA
rnacentral:tRNA from 1 species